AUCGGAAGUGGUUGAUUUAUGCUAAUGAAGGAGUCGGGGUUGUAGAUAUUUACGUUGGACGGCGGGAGCCGCCCUUCAUUCACCACAUGGUUAAAACCACGGUAUGUUCGCGCCACUUUCGCAAUUUUACUACGAUUCAGAAACUCAUGCCGAAUCAAAAUAGCAGCAAAUGCGGAUGCGAUGUUUGUUAGCUACUGUGCAAUUGACAAGUUUGUGGUUUACUUUCGUAGAUAUGCCUGGAGCAGUGACAGUAAAGGGCACCCAUUGGGAUGUACACUUGGAAUCCAGCGCCCUGUUCAAGUGAUUGACCCAGAAACAUUCCGUCGUUGGUUUUGGAUAUGUGCAUGGAUGCUUCACUGGCCUAAGUCACUGUAGUGUCAAAGUGCUUACAGUGCAGGUAGUCAUCUAAUAUCUACUGCAGUGAAGGCACUUUAAGCACUAUAGUGGCACGAUGACUGGCUUCAUUGCACACUGAUUGUGUGAACCUUAACUGGUGCUUAUGCUAAGGUGCAUCUAGUGCAGAUAGUGAAGUAGACCAGCACCUACUGCCCUACGUGCUCCUUCUGGCAUAAGGGCCGGGACUCGUCUGGUCUAUGAAAAGUGUAUGAUUUAUCCUUGCAGACCUCUGCUAGUUUUGCAUAGUUGCACUACAAGAGAAAUGGAGUUGUGCAAAUCUAUGCAAAACUGACGGUGGCCUGUGUGUCCAUCUGUCCGGGUGACUUUUUCAAAUGUAUAAUCAGUUGAGCAGCAUGGAGGGCUCUUGGGCAUCCUACACCCUUUUCCACCCACAGCAACGUUAAUGUGUGCAAACGGGUUUCAGCAGUAUUAAAGUGCUUAUAGUGCAGGUAGUUCUAUGGCCAUCUACUGCAGUGUGAGCACUUGAUGUACUUCUAAAUGCAUGCAUCGCCACAGGGUACAGCAGGCGCCGCCGAGGGAUGGAGCCACUGGUCUCUGGUUCGUUUUGCUGGUUUGCUUUCAGCUUUUCAAUGUACCGCUGUGCAAAUCCAUGCAAAACUGAUCAUAGCAGUGAUUCAUUUAAUCCUUCGUCAGAAUAACAAUCCCUUUCUGUGCAGGUUGGGAUAGGCAGCAAUGCUUUUUACUUGUAUGGUAUUGCACUUGUCCCGGCCUGUUGAGGACUUGGGGAAUUGUCCUGCUGCAGAAUACUUGGAGUUGAAAAUUAGACCGAUGACCACAAUACAUCCAUGUAUAUUUGAAUGUUUCCAAUAGAUUUUAAGUAAUGUCAUUAAUUUUGAGUGCAAUAAUUAUGAAUUAAGAAUUAUUAUUACAUCAGCUAACCGAUCGCUGCAGCUGUACAUUGCCCACCCAAUCUACCUACCUCAUCCCCAUACUGUUUUUAUUUACUUUUCUGCUCUUUUGCACACAAGUAUCUCUACAUGCACAUCUUCAUAUGCUCAUUUAUCACUCCAGUGUUAAUCUUCUGAAUUGUAAUUAUUUGCUCCUAUUGCCUACCUCAUGCCAUUUGCACACACUGUAUAUAGACUUUCUUUUUUUUCUACUGUAUCAUUGACUUGUUUAUUGUGUUAUUGGCUUGUUUAUUCCAUGUGUAACUCUGUUGUAUGUGUCACACUGCUUUGCUUUAUCUUGGCCAGGUCGCAGUUGUAAAUGAGAACUUGUUCUCAACUUGCCUACCUGGUUAAAUAAAGGUGAAAUUAUUAUUUUUUUACCUCAUCUCACUUCCACUUUUGAUAUAUAGUAUCUUUCGUUGUAGUCGCUGUCCUUCCAGCUGAAUAGUGAAUUGUUAUGUCAAAGAAAAAUGUGAGUAGCAUUCUGUGGGUUGAAAGCAAACAUGUAGUCAAGGUCUACCUCUGUUUAUAAAGCUAGUUGGAUAUCAGAGGGCACAUGUCAGGACACCUACUUCUCAAUACUGCAAUUGGACAUCCUUGGGCUUUUGAUUCAUAUGUAGUUUGGUGAAUUUUGCUAAUGAAAUGUUUAAUUUCAGGACACUGGGAUGCCUUUAAUAUCUGUGAAAUUUUAAAUGGGUGUUCUCCCAUAAUGUGAAUCUACUGUUAAAAUGAAUAUUGUUCUGCUGUGGUUCCUUAAUCUGACUCAUGAGCGAGUAAAAGGAAUGUAUGUGGAUGUAAGCCAUAAUGUUUAACCCCUGUAAAUGUCAAGGCUUUUGUAGGUUGUGCAAAUUCUUAAUAGUGCUAUGCUCAUGCUCUGAAUAUUAAAUCCGGCCUAUCUAAAUUGCAUGACCACCGUGGUGAGCUAAUGCUCUAGCUAUGGACCAUGGGUCUGUCAGUGUCCAUCCACAAAUGGCUACUGGGCUAUUCAUGGUGCCAGGUUGAUUGGCUUAAGCAUACAACAUAAAUCCUAUUAAGUACAUGUAGAGUGAGUUGAUUAUCCUGUUGACCAGCAGCACCCUCCUUGCCAGCAAGAUGAUCCAUCUGACCUAACGCAGACAAUUAUUUACAUUUAAGUCAUUUAGCAGACGCUCUUAUCCAGAGCGACUUACAAUAGCAUGUCGGAAAUUUCAGUUUCCUAGUUCUGAUUAGCCCAUGAACACUGUAGGCCUGUUUAUUUUUUAGUUAAUAGAUUUCGCUGCAGUUCACAGCAUUGUCAUGUUUAAAUUGUACAUGAGCCAGGGGUUGUGUUCAGUUGAACUCUUGAUAUUGACUCACUAUUGCGUAAGCUGUAGUGUUUAUGUCGAGGCAAAAUUGGCUCUGAAUGGGAUGCAAAUAGUUAAGGGUAGCAUACGCUGAGUGUACAGAACAUCUGCUCUUUCCAUGGGAUGCAGUGCCUUUAUAAAGUAUUUACACCCCGUUUUCCAUCACAGCCUGAAUUUAUAAUUGAUUAAAUUGAGGGAAAUGUCGCUGCAUACAAGUCUUAAUGUCAAAGUGGAUUUCCGUUUUGGGAAAUUUAACAUUGCAGAUGAUCUUGAAACAAAUAUUCAACCCCUUUAUGGCAAGAGUAAAUGUAUUAAAAUGUAUAAAGGCAAUGAUUUCAAUGAAGGGAUUAAAUUAAUAUCCCUUUGAGCAGGGCGAAGUCAAUUACACUUUGGAUGGUGUAUCAAUACACCCAGUCACUACAAAGAUACAGGUGUCCUUCCUAACUAGGUUGCUGGAGAGGAAGGAAACUACUCAGCCAUUUCACCAUGAGACCAAUGGUGACUUUAAAAUAGUUUAAAGGCUGUGGUAAACUGAGGAUGGAUCAACAUUGUAGUUACUCUACAACAUAACUGACGGCGUGAAAAGGAAGUCUGCACAAUAAAUAUACUCCAAAACAUG